UACGUAGGGGGCUAGCGUUGUCCGGAAUCAUUGGGCGUAAAGAGCGUGUAGGCGGUCCGGUAAGUCCGCUGUGAAAGUCGGGGGCUCAACCCUCGAAUGCCGGUGGAUACUGUCGGGCUAGAGUGCGGAAGAGGCGAGUGGAAUUCCUGGUGUAGCGGUGAAAUGCGCAGAUAUCAGGAGGAACACCAAUUGCGAAGGCAGCUCGCUGGGACGUAACUGACGCUGAGGCGCGAAAGCGUGGGGAGCAAACAGG
rnacentral:rRNA from 1 species